UGGCGGGCAGGGAUGGGUUCACAAGGUGCUCAGUGGGGGAGCUUUCUGAGCCAGGAUGAGCCAGGAGAAGGAAUUUCACAAGGCAAUGUCAUCAGUUAAGGCAAGGACCAGCCAUUUUCACUUCUUUUGUUGUGGAAUGUCAUCAGAACAGGCCAUUUAAAUUUCACUUCUUUUGUGAUUCUUCAGUUAUUUCAGGCCAUCUUGAUGUCUACUUGCAGGUCACAGGGGAUAUAAUGGCUUAGCUUGGUCUCAGAGGCUUGACAUUCCUGUCUUCU
rnacentral:lncRNA from 10 species